rnacentral:rRNA from 1 species
AGGACUUUAAUCGUUGAACAAACGAACCCUUAUUAGCGGCUGCACCAAUAGKAUGUCCUGAUCCAACAUCGAGGUCGUAAACCCCCUCGUCGAUAGGGACUCUGGGAGAGGAUUGCG